rnacentral:rRNA from 1 species
GACGAACGCUGGCGGCGUGCCUAAUACAUGCAAGUAGAACGCUGAAGAGAGGAGCUUGCUCUUCUUGGAUGAGUUGCGAACGGGUGAGUAACGCGUAGGUAACCUGCCUUGUAGCGGGGGAUAACUAUUGGAAACGAUAGCUAAUACCGCAUAACAAUGGAUGACACAUGUCAUUUAUUUGAAAGGGGCAAUUGCUCCACUACAAGAUGGACCUGCGUUGUAUUAGCUAGUAGGUGAGGUAAUGGCUCACCUAGGCGACGAUACAUAGCCGACCUGAGAGGGUGAUCGCCCCACCGGGGACUGAGACACGGCCCAGACUCCUCCGGGGGGCAGAAGGAGGGAAUCUGCGGCAAGGGGGGCAACCCGGACCGGGCAACGCCGGGGGGGGGAAGAAGGUUUUCGGAUUGUAAAGUUCUUUUUUAAGUAAAGAAGGGGGGGGGGGGGGGAAAGUUCCCCCUGGGAGGGUAGCUUACAAGAAAGGGAGGGCAAACUAGGG